UAAGUCAUCCCACUGAUCCGCGCAUGCCUUUGUCAAGUGCCAUGCUUCCAUUUGCCAUAGCUGAUGCCCACGAACCAAGGCCGCCUUGCCAACACUCUAGCUACCUUGUCUAGCUGCCUUGCCUAAGCCCAUCACCAACUUAGACACACACCCAACCUUGUACAUUGCUUGUCAAUGCUCAAUGCUUCAGCGAAGCCAUGUCAAGGGGUAAUGCACAAGCCCUCAACAUGAAUUUGCCCGACAUCCAUUGAGUCAAUAUUUUGGGUCGUAACAAACCACCCCCACCAAUUGAACUCGACGCCUUGUCGAGGUUAAUCUCAAGUAGCCCUCGAUUUGAUCUUCGAACGGACCACCAUAUUUCGCAACAAAGGUUCUAUCCAACAAUACCAUGUUGCCCUCGAUCCAGUACCGUCGCAUAGUACCUUCCAACGCAUGAUUCAUUGUAUUUAUGAACAAUGGAUCAUUCAUAGCAUCUGACUUGAAUUUAUCAACAAAAUCUAACUCAAGUACCGAAGUGGAAUAAACAGCAACAAAGACUUCCUCCUCAUGAGCCGAAUACCCUUGUCCUGCUUCAUUCAACUUUCUUAUUUCAAAGGCCACAGGAUGACCUUCUUGAACCAGCACGCCUCCAACAGCCUUGUUGGAUGUAUCAGUAUGCACUUCAAACAGUAACUCAAACUCAGCAAGCUGCAAGAUUGGUUAUGAGGCAAUGGCUUCUUUCGACACACCAAACGCAACCCGGCAUUUUCCCGACCAAUUCCCUUUAACGUUCUUCUUCAACACAUCCGUCAAAGGAACAACUUUCUUUUAGUAACAGCAAUGAAUUUCUGAUAAUAAUUUGCAAACCCAAGGAAAGAUCUCAAUUCUUUCACAACUUUCGGCACCUGCCAUUCCGCAAUGACCUGCACCUUAUUCGGGUCCAUCCGCACCUGAUUGUGGCUCACCAAGUGCCUAUGAAAUUUGAUCUCCUGUCUAGAAAAUCCACACUUCUCAUACAACUUGCACUCCCUCACCCAAGUCAGCACUUUCAUCAAGUGUGACAUAUGUUCAUCCAAAUUCCGACCGUAGAUAACAAUGUCAUCAAAGUAGACAACGACAAAAUCAUCAAUGUACUCAUACAGCCUGUCAUUCAUGAGAUUGCAAAAUGUAGUAGGGGCAUCUAUCCAUCUGACCGACAUAACAAAGAAUUCAUAUGAGCCAUACCUCGUAACACAAGUAGUUUUAGACUCAUCACCUUCAGAUAUCCGUACCUGCCAAUAACCAGACCGUAUAUCAAGCUUCAUGAACCAGCAUGUAUUGCUCAAUCUGUCCAUCAACUCUUGCACCAACGGAACAGGAUAGUUAUUUUUCACCGUGACAUGCCAAUAACAAGACCGUAUAUCCAGCUUCAUGAACCAGCUUGCCUUGUUCAAUUUCUCCCACAAUUCAGCCAACUCUUGCACUAACGGAACGUGAUAGUUAUUUUUCACCGUCACCUUGUUCAACGCCCUAUGCGAUUGAGUAGGAAGCAUCGAACCCGGCAUCGGCUCUAUCUUGUGAUGAAUAAUCCUCCGUGGUGGCAGAUUUUUAGGCAACUCUGGUGGCAUCACAUCAACAAAAGCACUCAAAUAUUAAGCAACGCAGUUCGGCACUAUAACCUUAACGUCAGGCUUCACUUCAACCCCAGCAGCAAGGAAAGUCUCACCUCCCUUCUUCAACCCUUUUCCAACUAACAUGGCAGAAUUUAACAAGGACUUACUUUGAAUUUCUUCUCCUCCAUAAGGAUAAUCAACUUUCACGAAACCAGGAGCCAUAUCAUUCAUGAUCAUCACUCCGUUCAAAUGAGGCAUUGGAACAAAGUGAUGUUUUCGCAUGAAGUCAAUCUAAUGAGGCCUUACUUUGAAUUUCUUCUCCUCCAUGAGGAUAAACAGCUUUCACGAAACCAGGAGCCAUAUCAUUCAUGAUCAUCACUCCGUUCAAGUGAGGCAUUGGAACAAAGUGAUGUUUUCGCAUGAAGUCAAUUCCGAGGAUCACCUCAAACUCUUCCAUUGGAAUCACCAUCAAAUUGACCUUCCCUUUCCAGUUCCCAACAGAUAUAGGAACAUCAUAAGCCAUAGCCAUAAUGGCUUGUGCUUUGGUGUUCACAGUAUUUAUGUAAGAGGGACAUUUUGACACUCUCAAUCAAUACUUAUGCACCAAACUGGCAGAAAUAAGGGUGUGAGUAGCGGCAGUAUCUACAGUAGCUAUCACACUUCUGUCCCCAAUUCUCAUUUCAAUGUGCAUCAGCAAAGAAUAAGGGUUCGUACCGAGGAUCACCUCAAACCCUUCCAUUGGAAUCACCAUCAAACUGACAUUCCCUUUCACAUUCCCAACAGACAUAGGAACAUCAUAAGCCAUACCCACAAUGGCUUGUGCUUUGGUGUUCACAGUCUUUAUGUAAGAGGGACAUUUCGACACUCUCAAUCGAUACUUAUGCACCAAACUGGCAGAAAUAAGGGUUUGAGUAGCUCCAGUAUCUACAAUUGCUAUCACAGUUCUAUCCCCAAUCCUCAUCUCUAUGUGCAUCAGCAAAGAAUAAGGGUUCGUCUCGUAACUUGUAGCAUUUAGCAACGAGAUAAAAUUCAACAAUUGCAAAGGAUUUACCAAGGCAGCAACAACUUCUUCGCCUUCUCCAUCACGAUUACUUUCUGUAGCAAGCAAAGCAUUUACCCGCUCCCGAUUUGGACAGUCUCUGGCAAGAUGAGGUCCUCUGCACCUCCAGCAACCAUCGGUUUUCCGGUUUGCGACGCCUUUGUUUUGAAUGCAAGAAAAGCAUUUACCCGCUCCCGAUUUGGACAGUCUCUGGCAAGAUGAGGUCCUCCACACGUCCAACAAUCAUCAGUUUCCUGUUUUGCGACGCCUUUGUUUUGAACAGCCCCAUCGACAACCUUGCCCUUCUCAAUGACUUCUUCUCGAACUUCUUUCCUCCAUUCCCCUUUCUUCUCCACCAUUUUUUAGGUUUUGAAGUAAGAGGAAUAUCCAAAAGAGUACGGGUGCUGCGAUAGUCCACCAAUGAAUCUGCUGCAGCCAUUGCACUUGGGAGAUCCUUUACAGUCCGUCUACUAUGUUCAUUCUGUGCCCAUGCUUGCAUUCAAGAAAUAAAGUUAUGCAAUUUGUCGUCCUCUGACAUGUUUUGAACAUCCAACAUUAAGGAAGAGAAUUCCUUAAUAUAAUCCUUAAUAGAUCCCGUUUGUCACAAGCGUUUCAAAUGGUCUCUAGCAAGCCAAGAUGCAUUGCUAGGCAAGAAUUGGUCCUUCAUUUCUUAUCUGAGCUUCUCCCAUGUAUUAAUUUUUGGUCUGCCCGCACUUUCAUCAUCCACCAUACGAGUUCUCCACCAUAAUUUAGCAUCUCCCGUUAGGUACAUGCUUGUAAUUGUGACCUUCUCCGCAUUUGGAACUUUGGCAGCAACAAAAUAUUGUUCCAUGUCCCACAGAAAAUUCUCCAAUUCUUUUGCACUAUGCGUUCCACCAAACACCUUAGGAUCAAGAAUCUUUACCUUCGAGCGUUCUUCAUUGCCUUGGCUUGGAGCAGCCAACACCCAGCGAAGAACAUUGAUUUCGGCCUUCAAGUUGUCGACCUCCUUCUUCAGGUCUUCAACUACGCCAUCCGUUGAUUCACAACUUUGUUGGAUCCCAUCGCGAAACUGAUCUACCCCAUCCUUUUGACAGUAAAUCUAUGUUAUAAGAUCUGCCAUAUCCAAAGGAUUAUCGGUCACGCCGAUUAGCGCCUCCAACCGUUGCACUCUAUCACUUAAGUAUGAAAUAGACCCACCCGCCAUGAUUAAGAGUUACAACCAAAAAGCUCCGAUACCAAUUGUUACAGGGUUAAUUUUUCGUAAAAAUAGACACUGCACGGCAGCAGCUCACAACCACUUCAGGCUUCACUUUUCGCGCACACACACAGUCUGACUUAGGAUUUUCAGACUUUAGCCAAACUAAGAACACGCAUAGAAUUUACGGGUAAAACCCUACCUUUAUUAAUUCUCGCAGAAUAUACAAAGGACACUCAUUUUAGACUUGGCUCACAGAUGUAAUGCUACUUUCCUUCUCCAUAGGCGGAGAUACAAUCUACAUAAAGGGGCUGCCAAUGGCAGUUACAAAGGGACAGUUACAAAGGGGCAGUUUCUACCAUGUGCCAUGCACAUGCCUUAGGUGGUUCCGGGCAGUUGCUACCAUGUCUUACUCUUGUAGCCAAUAGCCCAUGAUCUUAGAUCAUAUAUUAACUUCCAGCACAUGUCCUUGACACCACUUAGUCCUAGGCAAUUGCUACCAUGUCUUCCACUUUGUAGCCAAUAGCCCAUGAUCUUAGAUCAUGUCUUCAACUUCCAGCACAUGUUCUUGACACCACUUAGUCACAUUCCAUGCACGAUGGCCUCUAGCCUUGCCCACGUUUUCUUUGUCUCCAUCCCCGCUUUGCAUUGGUUCUUGCCUCGCCCUUAAUUCCAUAGCCACGCCCUGCUAUGGAUUAAGUCAUCUCACCGAUCCGUGCAUGCCAUUGCCCCGCUUUGCUUUGGACCUUGCCUCGCCCUUAAUUUCAUAGCCACGUCGUUAAUUUCAUAGCCCGCGUCGACCUUUUAUCUAAUAAAUGCAUCCCUUCCAGAAGUCGGGGUUUGUUGCACGAAUUAGCUCUAGAAUUAAUAUGGCUAUCCGAGUAGUAGAUACCAUCAAAAUAACUAUAACUGAUUUAAUGAUCCAUUCGCAGUUUCACAGUCUGAAUUUGUUCAUACUUAUGCAUGCAUGGCUUAAUCUUUGAGAAAAGCAUAUGACUACUGGCAGGAUCAACCAGGUAGCAUUCCUCAUUGACGCCGGCGUCGCAUAAGCGUGGCCGACCCAAAAACACACGACCAAGUCCAAGGCGAGCACGACCGUCAUUCAUAUGGAGCAUUCUUUUGGCAGAUAGAAGCCAAUAAAGGCCCCGUGCCCAUUGCAUUUACCGAAUCCGAGAGCUCGAGCAUGCUAAGUCAUGGACCAAGCCAUCGCAAGGCGAAGCCAGGACGACCUGGGACACAACUGCAGCCUUUGGUUCACCCCGCACGCCAAACGCAAGGAGCGAAAGGUGACCGAUUGUGCUUGGUAAUGCCUUGGAAUUAGGCAUGCAACACAGAAAAUCGACGUUGAACAAGCCUAAUUUGCGCUUGUGACAUGACUGAGAUGGCAUGCGAGCUAGGACGUCGCUGCUCGAGUAGGGAUCCAACCUAGCCACACAAGCCGAACACCACUCAUGUGCCGCAAGUACACUUGCCUCGCCGAUACAAAGCCAACAUCAGCCCCAACACGUGACGUGCAGCCAUGUGUUUUUGCCGAUGCCAACAUUGCAAAUCCAAGACAAGCGCCGCAAAGCAUGAAUAGGGGGUUUGAACAAUGGCAGACACAACCCAUUCAACACCAGCCCCAACACGUGACGCGUAGCCAUGUGUUAUUGCCGAUGCCAACAUUGCAAAGCCAAGACAAGCCCCGCAAAGCACGAAUAGGUGGUUUGAACAAUGCCAGACACAACCCAUAAGAACCGAUGGUAAUCGGCAACUUACUAAGCUUCACCCCGUGCGCACGGCACCUUGCGGCGCUACUUGCAUUAUGCUUUGCCAUUUAGUUGCAAAAGCCAUCAGCCGCCACGAGCGAUGUCGCCUCCCGAUGUUGCCCGCAACAACCGAUGGCNNNNNNNNNNNNNNNNNNNNNNNNNNNNNNNNNNNNNNNNNNNNNNNNNNNNNNNNNNNNNNNNNNNNNNNNNNNNNNNNNNNNNNNNNNNNNNNNNNNNNNNNNNNNNNNNNNNNNNNNNNNNNNNNNNNNNNNNNNNNNNNNNNNNNNNNNNNNNNNNNNNNNNNNNNNNNNNNNNGCCCUGCCAUGUCCUGACACCCGAUGUUUCCCGCAACAACCGAUGGCAAUCAAUAACUUACUAAGCUUCGCCCUGUGCGCACGGCACCUUGCAGCGCUACUUGCACGAUGCUUUGCCAUUUUGUUGCCAAAAGCCUUCAGCCGCCAUGAGUGAUGUUGCCUCCCGAUGUUGCCCGCAACAAUCGAUGGCAAUCGACAACUUAAUAAGCUUUGCCCCGUGCGCACAGAACCUUGUGGCGCUACUUGCACGAUGAUUUGCCAUUUUUUUCCAAAAUGCCAUCAGCUGCAACGAGCGAUAUCGCCUCCCGAUAUUUCCCGCAACAAUCGAUUGCAAUGGAACAUCUAGUGAGCUUCGCCGCGUGCGCACGGCACCUUGCGGCGCUACUUGCACGAUGCUCCGCCGUUCGUUGUCAAAAGCCAUAAGCCGCCACGGAGGGGGGUUUAAUGACACAACCCACAAGAAUCGAUGGAAAUAUGCAACUUACUAAGCUUCGCCCCAUGCGCACGGCACCUUACGACGCUACUUGCACGAUGCUCCACCGUUCCAUUGCCGAAAGACAUCAACCGCCAUGAGCGAUGUUGCCCGCCACAACCGAUGGCAAUCGACAUCUACUGAGCUUUGCCCCAUGCGCACAGCACCUUGCGGUGCUAGUUGCACGACGCUCCGCCGUUCGUUGUCGAAAGCCAUCAGCUGCCACGAGAGAUUCCAGACACAACCCACAACAACCGAUGGCAAUCACCAACAACUUUCUAAGCUUCGCUCCAUGCGCACGGCACCUUGCAGCGCUACUUGCACGAUGCUUUGCCGUUCUGUUCUCAAAAGCCAUAUGCCGCCAGCAGCGAUGUCUCCUCCCGGUUUUGCCCGCAACAUCCAAUGGCGAUCGACAAGUACUAAGCUUCGCCCCAUGCGCACGGCACCUUGCGGCGAUACUUGCAUGACGCUCCACCGUUCAUUGCCAAAAGCCAAUGUUUGCCACUGCGGUGCCACCACCAGGCAUACUACGAGCCCACACGAGUACUUGCCGGCACGGUUUGGGGACAUCGAGGACGUAGCACAAACAAGUCGUGCAUGCUCCCAAUGCCCACGCCCCAUGCCACCGUCCCCCAUACAUGCCCACCCCUUCCUGGAAGCAAGCACCUGAGGUACCUCUCAACACCUCUACCCCCUUAUAUAUACUUAAAAAAAAAACCCAAGUUUCACGAGUAGAUAUGUUUUGGCCAUAGAAUCAUAAUAGACAUGUACAACACCAAAUAGCACAAAUGAAAGUAUAACUUGGCUAAGAUAUUCAAAAACGAAUUUUAAACAUUGUAAAUGAUAUUUUUUACGAAAAAUUAAUAUUUUUUUUUAAAUAUUUUUAUUCAAAAACGAAAAAUACUUAAUAAAAUACUAAAAAAUAUGAAAAUUAUUAUAAAAAUAGAAAAAAUGAUGGAGAAAAUUCCAAUACAACUUGUAAUAGUAUAACAUAUAAAAGAGUAAAUAUUGUUAUUAAAAAGUGACAUAACAAUAAUUAAAAUAACAAAAAGUGCAUAAAAAUUACUAAAAACUAUAUUAAAAAAAUGAAAAAUACAUAAUAUUAUUAUAAAAGUGUAUAGAUGACCAACCGCAAAUAACCACGAGGAACCUCCAUUGUCGCAACCACAACAAGUGAUUCCGAUUUGAAAAAACUGCCGCCAACAACAAAGAGUCGACCAACCGUCGCCGGUGGAUACCGCUCGAGCCACCACGACUUUCUACCACCGCCACCAACGACCACAAACAUCAUUGCGCUUGACGUGUUGCCCAGCCAUGUCAUGACGCGUCCUGACACGUACCAUGGCCAUAUCCUGCCAUGUCUUGUGACGUCGUGACUCGUGCCAUGGCCACGCCCUGCCAUGUCUUGCGACGUCCCUACUCGUGCCAUAGCCAAGCCCUGCCAUGUCCUAACGUGUCCUGACUUGUGCCAUGGCCAUGUCCUGAUGCGUUCUGACACAUGCCAUGCCCAUGCCCUGCCAUGUCCUGCGACGUCCCGACUCGUGCCAUGGCCACGCCCUGCCAUGUCNNNNNNNNNNNNNNNNNNNNNNNNNNNNNNNNNNNNNNNUUCACGUGCCAUGGCCAUGUCCUGAUGCGUCCUGCGACAUCCUGACUCUUGCCAUGGCCAUGCCCUGCCAUGUCCAGGGACGUCAUGAGUCAUUCCACGGCCACGCCCUGCCAUGUCCUGACGUGUCCUGACACACUGCCAUGUCGUGACGCGUCCUGACACGUGCCAUGGCCAUGUCCUGACUCGUCCUGCGACGCCUGCCAUGUCAUGCCACGUCCCGACAUGUCCCGACCCGUGUCCUGCCAUGUCCUGCGACGUACUGACACGUCAUGGCCCGUGCCACGGCCACGCCCUUCCAUUUCCUAGGACGUCCUAGUUCAUGCCAUGGCCACGCCGUGCGGGUGUUGCAUAGGCCUUGGCCUCUCAAGCGACACACCAAAAAACCUUAGCAUAGGCCUCGACCUCUCAAGCGACACCCUGAAAAGCCUCUAGUAGUGUAACGUGGUUUGGUAUUUUCCUCGACGUGACUAAGUGUCAAGUCACAUUGUCCACUUAAUGCACAAAUAGUAUACGUUCCAAGGUCUUGACGACUUGUUCGAUUNNNNNNNNNNNNNNNNNNNNNNNNNNNNNNNNNNNNNNNNNNNNNNNNNNNNNNNNNNNNNNNNNNNNNNNNNNNNNNNNNNNNNNNNNNNNNNNNNNNNNNNNNNNNNNNNNNNNNNNNNNNNNNNNNNNNNNNNNNNNNNNNNUUAGAAUAUGAUUGGAUUGGAGGGGGAGGGACUAAUCGGAGCGACAAAGGGCUGAAUCUCAGUGGAUCGUGGCAGCAAGCCCACUCUGCCACUUACAAUAUCCCCUCGCGUAUUUAUCUUGUCUGUAAAGGAUUCUACCCGCCGCUCGAUGGAAAUUGUAAUUCAAGGCGGCCACCGCGGCUCUUGCGCAGCGAUGACUUAGCCAACGACAUGUGCCCUUGGCGGCCAAAGGCCCCUACUGCGGGUCGGCAAGCGGACGGCGGGUGCAUGCAUCGCUUCUAGCCCGGAUUCUGACUUAGAGGCGUUCAGUCACAAUCCAGCCCACGGUAGAUUCGCGCCACUGGCUUUUCAACCAAGCGCGAUGACCAAUUGUGCGAAUCAACGGUUCCUCUCGUACUAGGUUGAAUUACUAUUGCGACACUGUCAUUAGUAGGGUAAAACUAACCUGUCUCACGACAGUCUAAACCUAGCUCACGUUCCCUAUUGGUGGGUGAAAAAUCCAGCACUGGUGAAUUUUGCUUCACAAUGAUAGGAAGUGCCGACUUCGAAAGAUCAAAAAGCAACGUCGCUAUGAACGCUUGGCUGCCACAAGCAAGACUUGGGUCCAAAAAGAGGAGCAGUUCCCCGCUUCUGAUUCACGGAAUAAGUAAAAUAACGUUAAAAGUAGUGGUAUUUCACUUUCGCCUUUCGACUCCCACUUAUACUACACCUCUCAAGACAUUUCACAAAGUCGGACUAGAGUCAAGCUCAACAGGGUCUUCUUUCCCCGCUGAUUCUGCCAAGCCUUUUCCCUUGGCUGUGGUUUCGCUGGAUAGUAGACAUGGACAGUGGGAAUCUCAUUAAUCCAUUCAUGUGCAUCACUAAUUAGAUGAUGAGGCAUUUGGCUACCUUAAGAGAUUUAUAGUUACUCCUGCCGUUUACCCGCGCUUGGUUGAAUUUCUUCACUUUGACAUUCAGAGCACUGGGCAAUAUCACAUUGCAUAAACAUCCGCAAGGACCAUCGCAAUGCUUUGUUUUAAUUAAAUAGUCAGAUUCCCCUUGUCCGUACCAGUUCUGAGUUGGCUUUUCGAUGUCCGAGGAAGGCCCCCGAAGGAACUGUUCCCAGUCCAUCCCCCGGCCGGCACGUGGCGACCCGCUCUCGCUGCGAGAGCAGCUCGAGCAGUCCACCGACAGUCGACGGGUUCGGGAAUGGGACCCCCGUUCCAGCCCUCAAAGCCAAUCCUUUUCCCGAAGUUACGGAUCCAUUUUUCUGACUUCCCUUGCCUACAUUGUUCCAUCGAUCAGAGGCUGUUCACCUUGGAGACCUGAUGCGGUUAUGAGUACGACCAGGCAUGGACGGCACUUGGUCCUCCAAAUUUUCAAGGGCCGCCGGUGGGCGCACCGGACA
rnacentral:lncRNA from 1 species